CAAGGAAUUUUCCGCAAUGGGCGAAAGCCUGACGGAGCAACGCCGCGUGGGGGAUGACGCUUUUCGGAGUGUAAACCCCUUUUCUCAGGGACGAAACAAUGACGGUACCUGAGGAAUAAGGACCGGCUAACUACGUGCCAGCAGCCGCGGUAAUACGUAGGGUCCGAGCGUUGUCCGGAGUUACUGGGCGUAAAGCGCGCGCAGGCGGUUCGGUAAGACUGGCGUGAAAGCCCCCGGCUCAACCGGGGAGGGUCGUUGGUGACUGCCGGACUUGAAGACAGCAGGGGCAGGUGGAAUUCCCGGUGUAGUGGUGAAAUGCGUAGAGAUCGGGAGGAACACCCGUGGCGAAGGCGGCCUGCUGGGCUGAUCUUGACGCUGAGGCGCGAAGGCGUGGGGAGCGAACGGG
rnacentral:rRNA from 1 species